rnacentral:rRNA from 1 species
GUGAAACAAGAUACAGGCUAGCGGCGGACGGGUGAGUAACACGUGGGUAAACCCUGCCCCAAGAGAUCGGGGAUAACACCUGGAAACAGAUGCUAAUACCGGAUAACAACAGAUGAUGCCUAUCAACUGUUUAAAAAGAUGGUUCUGCUAUCACUCUUGGAUGGACCUGCGGUGCAUUAGCUAGUUGGUAGGUAACGGCCUACCAAGGCGAUGAUGCAUAGCCGAGUUGAGAGACUGAUCGGCCACAUUGGGACUGAGACACGGCCCAAACUCCUACGGGAGGCAGCAGUAGGGAAUCUUCCACAAUGGACGCAAGUCUGAUGGAGCAACGCCGCGUGAGUGAAGAAGGGUUUCGGCUCGUAAAGCCCUGUUGUUGGUGAAGAAGGACAGGGGUAGUAACUGACCUUUGUUUGACGGUAAUCAAUUAAAAAGUCACGGCUAACUACGUGCCCAGCAGCCGCGGGUAAU